GAUGAACGCUGGCGGCGUGCCUAAUACAUGCAAGUCGAGCGAACAGACGAGGAGCUUGCUCCUCUGACGUUAGCGGCGGACGGGUGAGUAACACGUGGAUAACCUACCUAUAAGACUGGGAUAACUUCGGGAAACCGGAGCUAAUACCGGAUAAUAUAUUGAACCGCAUGGUUCAAUAGUGAAAGACGGUUUUGCUGUCACUUAUAGAUGGAUCCGCGCCGCAUUAGCUAGUUGGUAAGGUAACGGCUUACCAAGGCAACGAUGCGUAGCCGACCUGAGAGGGUGAUCGGCCACACUGGAACUGAGACACGGUCCAGACUCCUAUGGGAGGCAGCAGUAGGGAAUCUUCCGCAAUGGGCGAAAGCUUGACGGAGCAACGCCGCGUGAGUGAUGAAGGUCUUCGGAUCGUAAAACUCUGUCAUUAGGGAAGAACAAAUGUGUAAGUAACUAUGCACGUCUUGACGGUACCUAAUCAGAAAGCCACGGCUAACUACGUG
rnacentral:rRNA from 1 species